rnacentral:lncRNA from 1 species
GAGCAACAUGACCCGCUAUUGUUAAAGCUUGUCAACAUAUUAACCUGACUAUUCCCUACAGUCAUCAUGAACUGAAUUGGAAGCUGGCGGACAGCGAUGGCUAGGUUGGCACGUCAGAAUAACCAGACAGAAAAGAAAGAGAGAGAAGGACGUGAUCAAUGGACUUGAACUCUGGAGCUCCACUGCCACAGACGGAAAGAGAUCAUCUUUUGAAACAGCCAGGAGACCUAAUGAAGUCGCAGAGUGGCACAAUUAUUUCCCUGAGAAGGAGCAUUAAUGUACUUGAGAAUCCCCUCCGGAGGAACAUGAUGACAAUUGGUUUGUACAGCUUUGAUCGUCCAGGAUAAACUGCAGGGUUGGCCCCCUGUGCCAUGGGUUGGGUUUCUAGCAGAUGUGCGUGCAUCCCAAAUGGCCUGCUAUUCCAUAUAUAAUGCAAUACUUUUGACCAGGGCCCUACGAGGAACCCAGAAAUGGUUAUGAUAAAACAGCAGUCACACCAACCAAACAUUCUACACACAAAAGCUGAAAACAAAAGGUGAAUGGAAGGUUAUAUAAAAUCAGUGUAUAUUUAUUCUGUAGAGCCACAACUGUAUAGACCAAGUCAGCAGGAUAUGUUAGGGGGUAAGAGACCAAUAAUAAUAAAAAACACAAAACAAAAAUUGGGGGAAAAAUGUAUUUGAUGUACUUCAACAAGUUAAAAUAUAUGAAGCAAAAAAGUAAAAAGGCCAAUUCAAGUAUUUUAUUUCAGUAUCUUAUUUCAGCAAGUUUUUGCUAUAUUUACUACAGAAAGCUGAAUGAAUACAUGGUAUAUAGAGCCUUCUUUCUUAAUACAUCCAAAAUGAGGUAUGGAUGUUAAACCAACCAGACCUUAUUACAGUACAUUCACAUCUCUCAGACAUCAUCUAGUGCUGUCCAGAUGAAUAAAACAUUAAGCUUAUGUAUUUUACUUAGCAUAAUAUAAUAUAUAUCUGGAAGUUUAAGCGCCAUGAAAAUGUGAUUUACAUUGUAACUUGACUUAGAUUAAAAUGCUCCUAGUCCUUUUAUUGGGCUGUAAAAUCAAUUUCGGAAGGGAAAGUUAAGGUUCUCCAUAAUAUUAGAAAGUAGUGCUUGGUGGUGUUGAAUCAUCAAAGAACGGUACAGAAGAAUGUGCUUCAUUAACUAGGCCUAAUAAAUGCCUUAAAGCAAUAUUUCACCACUAUCUCAGCCUUGCUUAAUCUUUUGUCUUACAUCUUAAUGUUUUUAUGGAAGAGAGACUACCCACUGGGCACAAACUGGUUGAAUCAAUGUAAUUCAUAUUGUGACGUGGAAUCAACGUUGAAAAUUCAUUUGAAGAAUGUCAUCAUCCAGUACUGUUUUCAUCUAAUUUCAACCAGCGUCUUUACUUAAACAUUGAAAUUAGGGUAAAACUUCAACUUAAAUACAUUGACUUAACCUGACUAACAGGUUGUUACAUCAAUCUAAUUUCAACAUAAUCAUCAGACCUAUGUAAAUGUUAAAAUUACGUUGAAAACAUAAAACAUAUUUUGUUGAAUUUCAUAUUUGAUUAGACAUUUUAUUUAAACUGAAUGGUAAAAUGGUAUGUUGGAAUCAACGUCAUUGUUUCAACGUCAUGCUAUCGACAUAAAUAAAGAGGUAUAUUGAAAUAAAAUGUGAAGCUUACCGUCCAACAAGUCCUGCCUGAACAUUGACUCCUACUGUUAUAUAAAGGGUAAUGCAAUUCAGUGAGAACAAGUCUACCAGCCAGAUACCUAACACUAUGUACUCUGCUUAGCUUCAGAAACAAGAUGUGUUUUCGAUUCAGCUGAGCUAUUAUGUCAAGACAGUUACACAUUGAUUCCAUACUAAUUUGUGUAGACAACCUAGGCCCAAAUAACUAAAUAACUCCUCUAACUUUUCUCACACAAGCUGAUUGUGAAAGUACAUUUGGAGUGAGGUAGGGUUUACGUAGGCUACGUUAACAUUUGAUUUGCCCAAAGGACACCAUCAUUUCAACUUGAAGCUAGGUAUUCUAUCAUUCAUCCAAGGUUGAUUGCAUCUUUGGAAGUUUAGAAGUAGUUACCAUUAGCCCUAUAAAUAGGAUGCCAAAUUGAUGAUAUUAAUAAUACACUUUUAAUGUAUUAUGGAUAUUGUUUUGGAUAUUGUUUUGAAUAUGAAGGAUGAUUGGUUGAUUUCAAAUGUAAUCUAGAAGUUAUUCAUAUGUUUGAUUCACGUCUCCAUGUCAACCAAAAAUCUAAGUUGAAAAAUAUUAAACUUUAUUUGAAGUGCAUUUAAAGUUUGAUUUGAUUUAGUGCUAUCAUUUUACUCCAAUUUUUGGUUUACAUGGAGAUGUGAAUCCAACAUAUUAAUAAGUAAUUAGAAGAUAAACUGGAUAUUGAAUUGUGAACACAACCAAAUAUCAAUUAUUAACAUUUGAAGGAGCACUUGCACACCCUGAACGGUAUGGUAAUGGUAAUAGUAACAACUUCUAAACUUCCAAAGAUCCAAUCAACCAUGGAUGAAUGAUAGUAUACCUAGCUUCACAUUGAAAUGAUGGUGUCCUUUGGGCAAAUAAGAUGUAGCCUACAUAAACCCACCUCACUGUGAAUUUACUUUCACAUACUGCUUGUGAAGAGGAGUUACUUUCAAAUAUUCAAUGUUAUUUAGGUAGUCUACGCAA